rnacentral:rRNA from 1 species
CGGCCAGACUCCUACGGGAGGCAGCAGUGGGGAAUAUUGCACAAUGGGGGAAACCCUGAUGCAGCAACGCCGCGUGAGUGAAGAAGUAUUUCGGUAUGUAAAGCUCUAUCAGCAGGGAAGAAGAUGACGGUACCUGAUUAAGAAGCCCCGGCUAACUACGUGCCAGCAGCCGCGGUAAUACGUAGGGGGCAAGCGUUAUCCGGAUUUACUGGGUGUAAAGGGAGCGCAGACGGCAGUGCAAGUCUGGAGUGAAAGCCCGGGGCCCAACCCCGGAACUGCUCUGGAAACUGUUGAACUGGAGUACAGGAGAGGUAAGCGGAAUUCCUAGUGUAGCGGUGAAAUGCGUAGAUAUUAGGAGGAACACCAGUGGCGAAGGCGGCUUACUGGACUGUAACUGACGUUGAGGCUCGAAAGCGUGGGGAGCAAACAGGAUUAGAUACCCCAGUA